rnacentral:rRNA from 1 species
GAGACGCUGGCGGCGUGGGAUUAGGCAUGCAAGUCGAACGGUAGGAUACCUUCGGGUAUCUGAGAGUGGCGAACGGGUGAGUAACACGUAGGUGAUCUACCCUCAAGAUUGGGACAACCCAGGGAAACUUGGGCUAAUACCGGAUGAAAGCAGCAGUGAUGUUGUUUGAAAGGUGGCGUAAGCUGCCGUUUGGGGAUGAGCCUGCGCUCUAUUAGUUAGUUGGCGGGGUAAAGGCCCACCAAGGCGAUGAUAGAUAGGCGGCCUUAACGGGUGGUCGCCCACACUGGGAUUGAGAUACGGCCCAGACUCCUACGGGAGGCAGCAGUCGAGAAUAGUCUACAAUGGCCGAAAGGCUGAUAGUGCGACGCCGCGUGAACGAAGAAGCCCUUCGGGGUGUAAAGUUCUUUUAUAUGUGAGCAGUGCUUUCUAUGUGAACAGCAUGGGGAGAGAGAUAUUAGCAUAUGAAUAAGCAACGGCUAACUCCGUG